rnacentral:ncRNA from 1 species
AAAUAUGCGUGGAUGAGGACAAGUAAGCCCCUCCCCCGCGGCAAAGAGAACCGCCGUUUUGGUGAAAGGCGGGACGCGGCAGGGCUGAAUAUCACCUCGGAGCAGCCGGACUGAACUCAUGAGUAAGGCCGGACGGGUGCGACCGUUAUAUCGCAGCAUUUGAGCGGCUGUGCAAGACACAGCAAGAAGAGUGGUACCGCAGAGGUCAGCGCCUUUGUCUCUUUA